AAGUAGAACGCUGAAGGAGGAGCUUGCUUCUCUGGAUGAGUUGCGAACGGGUGAGUAACGCGUAGGUAACCUGCCUGGUAGCGGGGGAUAACUAUUGGAAACGAUAGCUAAUACCGCAUAAUAGUAGAUGUUGCAUGACAUUUGCUUAAAAGGUGCAAUUGCAUCACUACCAGAUGGACCUGCGUUGUAUUAGCUAGUUGGUGGGGUAGCGGCUCACCAAGGCGACGAUACAUAGCCGACCUGAGAGGGUGAUCGGCCACACUGGGACUGAGACACGGCCCAGACUCCGACGGGAGGCAGCAGUAGGGAAUCUUCGGCAAUGGACGGAAGUCUGACCGAGCAACGCCGCGUGAGUGAAGAAGGUUUUCGGAUCGUAAAGCUCUGUUGUAAGAGAAGAACGAGUGUGAGAGUGGAAAGUUCACACUGUGACGGUAUCUUACCAGAAAGGGACGGCCAACUACGUGCCAGCAGCCGCGGUAAUACGUAGGUCCCGAGCGUUGUCCGGAUUUAUUGGGCGUAAAGCGAGCGCAGGCGGUUAGAUAAGUCUGAAGUUAAAGGCUGUGGCUUAACCAUAGUACGCUUUGGAAACUGUUUAACUUGAGUGCAAGAGGGGAGAGUGGAAUUCCAUGUGUAGCGGUGAAAUGCGUAGAUAUAUGGAGGAACACCGGUGGCGAAAGCGGCUCUCUGGCUUGUAACUGACGCUGAGGCUCGAAAGCGUGGGGAGCAAACAGGAUUAGAUACCCUGGUAGUCCACGCCGUAAACGAUGAGUGCUAGGUGUUAGACCCUUUCCGGGGUUUAGUGCCGCAGCUAACGCAUUAAGCACUCCGCCUGGGGAGUACGACCGCAAGGUUGAAACUCAAAGGAAUUGACGGGGGCCCGCACAAG
rnacentral:rRNA from 1 species